AUUGAACGCUGGCGGCAGGCCUAACACAUGCAAGUCGAACGGUAACAGGAAGAAGCUUGCUUCUUUGCUGACGAGUGGCGGACGGGUGAGUAAUGCCUGGGAAACUGCCUGAUGGAGGGGGAUAACUACUGGAAACGGUAGCUAAUACCGCAUAAUGUCGCAAGACCAAAGAGGGGGACCUUCGGGCCUCUUGCCAUCGGAUGUGCCCAGAUGGGAUUAGCUAGUAGGUGGGGUAACGGCUCACCUAGGCGACGAUCCCUAGCUGGUCUGAGAGGAUGACCAGCCACACUGGAACUGAGACACGGUCCAGACUCCUACGGGAGGCAGCAGUGGGGAAUAUUGCACAAUGGGCGCAAGCCUGAUGCAGCUAUGCCGCGUGUAUGAAGAAGGCCUUCGGGUUGUAAAGUACUUUCAGCGGGGAGGAAGGGAGUAAAGUUAAUACCGUUGCUCAUUGACGUUACCCGCAGAAGAAGCACCGGCUAACUCCGUGC
rnacentral:rRNA from 1 species